UGCAAACUAUUAAUUAUAUAAAAACUGAAAUCAUUAUUAUUUGAUGGCUUAUAAAGCACCCAUAACCAUAAAAAACCACUGAUUGGCACCUGCUAGAUUAGUUAGCUUGGUUAAUGCGUGGGUUUGAUUUAGCACACAAUUGGUUUGUGAAGUUUGGUUGGUUUUAUAUCAAAUGUACUCUGCGAUUUGAAAUUCCCGGUUUUGGAACUAGUCAAAAGUAAGACUAUUGGACAUCUGCUAGAAGUUGUAUCAAACGUAUCGAGUUAACAAAACCUAUAACGGCUAAAACGUUGGCUGAUUAUGUUUCUCGUAUAGGAAAACAAGAAUGAUUGCUUUUGAAUGAUCUAUUGUGCAACCACUUGCAAGGAGUUUUCACAAAGCCUCGCGCAGUGUUUUUGGUAAAAUUCCUUCGUUUGAUAGAGGUUUAUUCUAGGCCGAAACCAUGCCAAUGUCAAGAAGACUCAAAUGUUCAAUUGAGACUUGCUCUAGCUGGCGAAGGCUUCGUUUCUCAACUGACAGUCCGGAUCCGUACUCCGCAGAAGUUCCCCAUCAAACAUAACAUACGGGUACUUUCACAUACGGGAUAACCGCAAAUUAUUCACCCAGUCUCAAUCCGGUUUGGUGGUUUGCAUAUUUUGGAACUCUCUAAGAUUUUCGAAAUUUGUGAUGAGUAUUUAGACUCUCAGCCCAAAAGAAAGUUCCAUUGAAGCAAGUUUCUGCAAUUUUUCUCCACUUUACUGUAAAAUGUGAUACUUUAAUGGUCGCGAUGGCUAUCAUGACUAACAGCUUUAGAUGAUUCGGGUUCGGCCAGGAACCACUGAAACCACCAUUAUUGCCAAUAGCUUUCCAAGUCAUGGUUGGAAUACUAUAUUUAAAGAAUUUGAUCAACUACUCUUGUGUUGCUGUCUAUAUUCAUUUUACAUAAAUACUUCAAAACAUCAAACCACAAUUGAAGUCUGAUAUUUGAUUGCCAGACUUAUUGUAACCUCAGUACCUAGUGGUGGAGGUAAUGUAUGGCAGACACUUGCUAUCUUGAAAGACUUUUAGGAGAUGAAUAACGUUGGCUUCAGGAAUAUUUUUAUUGUAUGCAAAAAAGGAAAGAAUAUUAUGAGUCUUCGUCCUCCAUCUCCACAAUUCAUAACCCAAAGGAAUCUCGAGAAUAAAGAAAAGAUCGACGUA